AUACUGUACUGUCUAUCUUCAUACUGUACUGUCUGUAUAUCUUCAUACUGUACUGUCUGUCUAUCUUCAUACUGUACUGUCUGUCUAUCUUCAUACUGUAGUGUCUGUCUGUCUUCAUACUGUAGUGUCUGUCUGUCUUCAUACUGUAGUGUCUGUCUGUCUUCAUACUGUAGUGUCUGUAUAUCUUCAUACUGUAGUGUCUGUCUGUCUUCAUACUGUAGUGUCUGUCUGUCUUCAUACUGUAGUGUCUGUCUGUCUUCAUACUGUAGUGUCUGUAUAUCUUCAUACUGUAGUGUCUGUCUGUCUUCAUACUGUAGUGUCUGUAUAUCUUCAUACUGUAGUGUCUGUCUGUCUUCAUACUGUAGUGUCUGUCUAUCUUCAUACUGUAGUGUCUGUAUAUCUUCAUACUGUAGUGUCUGUCUGUCUUCAUACUGUAGUGUCUGUCUAUCUUCAUACUGUAGUGUCUGUAUAUCUUCAUACUGUACUGUCUGUAUAUCUUCAUACUGUACUGUAUAUCUUCAUACUGUAGUGUCUGUCUGUCUUCAUACUGUAGUGUCUGUAUAUCUUCAUACUGUAGUGUCUGUGACGGUGGUCUGCAUUUAGAAGAUCACCCUGCUGAGACCUUAAAGAUGUUCUCCACAGGAAUAACUCCUGUUGAGAAGUAGAAACACACUAAAGGGUUUUAACAAAAGACUGUAAACUUCCAGGAGUUGGUCUGAUGUGGGUUCGUGAUGUCAUCAGCCUCCAUCUUUGUUGAGGAACAGUGGAGAACAUAAUAAUAUGACCACCUAUUGAGAAGUGCCUGUUAUGAAGUAAAUCAGCUGUUAAAGGAGACUUAACAUAGACUGGUAGUACUGUAAGGCAGUGACAGUAGAUCAUUGGCUUCAAGAGGCUUUGUAGAGGAUAUCGGGCAGAGUGAGAUUGGGUCAGAAUACUGUUGAAACGGUUUCCUUUACCCUGAAAGUGACUUCUGAGCUCAUCAUACACUGGGUCCCUUGGGUCUGUCUCUCAGGUGUAGAUGGCAUGCCUUGGAGCAGGGGAGAGGAUCUCUCUCCCUCUCCCUCUGUCUCUCUAUCUCUCUCCCUCUGUCUCUCUGUCUCUCUCUGUCUCUCUAUCUCUCUCCCUCUGUCUCUCUGUCUCUCUCGGUCUCCCUCUGUCUCUCUCUGUCUCUCUCUUUGUCUCUCUCCCUCUCUCUCUCUGUCUCUGUCUCUCUCGGUCUCUCUCUCUGUCUCCCUCUGUCUCUCUCGGUCUCUCUCUGUCUCUCUGUCUCUCUCUCUCUGUCUCUCUCCCUUUCUCUCUCUCCCCCUCUCUCUCUCUCUCUCUCUCUCUCUCUGAGUAGAUGGCGUCCAUUGGAGCAGGCCUGCCCUGGGGGGCUGCUUGUUCCCUGUGCGGGGUUGUGUCCUGCCUGUGCGGGGUUGUGUCCUCAGGGUUGACCACCCUCCGGUCCUGGGCAGAGGGGAGCCUGGAGGAUACUUCACCCAGAGCCUCAUCUACACAGCCAGCCCUCCACACACAGGUUACGGAGUCGACAAAGAGCAGAAUGUGAGAGUAGAUGUCAAGAG
rnacentral:lncRNA from 1 species